rnacentral:rRNA from 1 species
AGAGUUUGAUCAUGGCUCAGAUUGAACGCUGGCGGAAUGCUUACACAUGCAAGUCGAACGGCAGCACGGGGCAACCUGGUGGCGAGUGGCGAACGGUGAGUAAUACAUCGGAACGUGCCCAAUCGUGGGGGAUAACGUAGCGAAAGUUACGCUAAUACCGCAUACGAUCUACGGAUGAAAGCGGGGGAUCGCAAGACCUCGCGCGAAUGGAGCGGCCGAUGUCAGAUUAGGUAGUUGGUGGGGUAAAGGCUCACCAAGCCAACGAUCUGUAGCUGGUCUGAGAGGACGACCAGCCACACUGGAACUGAGACACGGUCCAGACUCCUACGGGAGGCAGCAGUGGGGAAUUUUGGACAAUGGGCGCAAGCCUGAUCCAGCCAUUCCGCGUGCAGGAUGAAGGCCUUCGGGUUGUAAACUGCUUUUGUACGGAACGAAAAGGUCCUGGUUAAUACCUGGGGGCUCAUGACGGUACCGUAAGAAUAAGCACCGGCUAACUACGUG